CAGAGAUGAGAAUGUGCCUUCGGGAACCGUGAGACAGGUGCUGCAUGGCUGUCGUCAGCUCGUGUUGUGAAAUGUUGGGUUAAGUCCCGCAACGAGCGCAACCCUUAUCCUUUGUUGCCAGCGGUCCGGCCGGGAACUCAAAGGAGACUGCCAGUGAUAAACUGGAGGAAGGUGGGGAUGACGUCAAGUCAUCAUGGCCCUUACGACCAGGGCUACACACGUGCUACAAUGGCGCAUACAAAGAGAAGCGACCUCGCGAGAGCAAGCGGACCUCAUAAAGUGCGUCGUAGUCCGGACUGGAGUCUGCAACUCGACUCCAUGAAGUCGGAAUCGCUAGUAAUCGUGGAUCAGAAUGCCACGGUGAAUACGUUCCCGGGCCUUGUACACACCGCCCGUCACACCAUGGGAGUGGGUUGCAAAAGAAGUAGGUAGCUUAACCUUCGGGAGGGCGCUUACCACUUUGUGAUUCAUGACUGGGGUGAAGUCGUAACAAGGUAACCGUAGGGGAACCUGCGGUUGGAUCACCUCCUUACCUGAAAGAA
rnacentral:rRNA from 1 species